rnacentral:rRNA from 1 species
GACGAACGCUGGCGGCGUGCUUAACACAUGCAAGUCGAACGGAAAGGCCCUGCUUUUGUGGGGUGCUCGAGUGGCGAACGGGUGAGUAACACGUGAGUAACCUGCCCUUGACUUUGGGAUAACUUCAGGAAACUGGGGCUAAUACCGGAUAGGAGCUCCUGCUGCAUGGUGGGGGUUGGAAAGUUUCGGCGGUUGGGGUUGGACUCGCGGCUUAUCAGCUUGUUGGUGGGGUAGUGGCUUACCAAGGCUUUGACGGGUAGCCGGCCUGAGAGGGUGACCGGCCACAUUGGGACUGAGAUACGGCCCAGACUCCUACGGGAGGCAGCAGUGGGGAAUAUUGCACAAUGGGCGGAAGCCUGAUGCAGCACCGCCGCGUGCGGGAUGACGGCCUUCGGGUUGUAAACCGCUUUCGCCUGUGACGAAGCGUGAGUGACGGUAAUGGGUAAAGAAGCACCGGCUAACUACGUG